UACGUAGGCAGCGAGCGUUGUUCGGAGUUACUGGGCGUAAAGGGUGCGUAGGCGGUUGUUUAAGUUUGGUGUGAAAUCUCCCGGCUCAACUGGGAGGGUGCGCCGAAUACUGAAUGACUAGAGUCCGGAAGAGGAGUGUGGAAUUCCCGGUGUAGCGGUGAAAUGCGCAGAUAUCGGGAAGAACACCCGUGGCGAAGGCGGCACCCUGGGACGGUACUGACGCUGAGACGCGAAAGCGUGGGGAGCAAACAGG
rnacentral:rRNA from 1 species